GGUAAGUCAGACUGCCUCGUCAGCCCACGUGACUCUGAACAGCAGAGCUCUAAUCUCAGCACUCAGCAGUCUCACAGGACUGCCGGAGUGAGAACACCAGAACUCAUGGGUGAAGAAAACCAACAUGACUAAAAGAGAAAGCUUGAAAGUUAAAGAACUACUUAAGUGGCUUUGAAAACACUUUAGA